GAUGAACGCUAGCGGCAGGCCUAACACAUGCAAGUCGAGGGGCAGCACAGGUAGCAAUACUGGGUGGCGACCGGCGGAUGGGUGCGUAACGCGUAUGCAACCUACCAUUGAUUGGGGCAUAGCCCGAAGAAAUUCGGAUUAAUACUCCAUAAUAUUCAUCAAAGGCAUCUUUUAUGAAUUAAAGCUUUUGCGAUCAAUGAUGGGCAUGCGUGACAUUAGUUAGUUGGUGAGGUAACGGCUCACCAAAACGAUGAUGUCUAGGGGUUCUGAGAGGAUUAUCCCCCACACUGGUACUGAGACACGGACCAGACUCCUACGGGAGGCAGCAGUGAGGAAUAUUGGUCAAUGGACGCAAGUCUGAACCAGCCAUGCCGCGUGCAGGAUGACGGUCCUAUGGGUUGUAAACUGCUUUUCCACGGAAGAACCUCGACGUGUCGGAGACUGACGGUACCGUGGGAAUAAGCAUCGGCUAACUCCGUGCC
rnacentral:rRNA from 1 species